rnacentral:tRNA from 1 species
GGGGAUAUAGCUCAGUUGGUAAGAGUGCUUGCCUUACAUGAGCAAGACCCUGGGUUCCAUCCCCAGUACCACA